UUGGAGGGCAAGUCUGGUGCCAGCAGCCGCGGUAAUUCCAGCUCCAAUAGCGUAUAUUAAAGUUGUUGCAGUUAAAAAGCUCGUAGUUGAAUUUCGGGGUCAUCAGGUUGGUCGUGCCACUGGUAUGCACUGGCCUUGGUGAUUCCUCCUUCUUGUAGAGCCGUGAUGCCAUUAAUUUGGUGUUGCGGGGAAACAGGACUGUUACUUUGAAAAAAUUAGAGUGUUUAAAGCAGGCUCACGCUUGAAUACAUUAGCAUGGAAUAAUAAAAUAGGACGUUCGAUCCUAUUUUGUUGGUUUCUAGGGUUGACGUAAUGAUUAAUAGGGAUAGUUGGGGACAUUAGUAUUCAAUUGUCAGAGGUGAAAUUCUUGGAUUUAUUGAAGACUAACUACUGCGAAAGCAUUUGCCAAGGAUGUUUUCAUUAAUCAAGAACGAAAGUUAGGGGAUCGAAGACGAUCAGAUACCGUCGUAGUCUUAACCAUAAACUAUGCCGACUAGGGAUCGGAUGAUGUUAAUUUUUUAAUGACUCAUUCGGCGCCUUACGGGAAAC
rnacentral:rRNA from 1 species